CUAUAUCUGGGAUUGUACAUGAAUUGAUAAAAGUUGGUUUGUGGCCUAAAAAUCUACAUUAGAUCUGUAAAGAGAAACGUGGAAAGUUUUUACGCCAUAAACACACCGAGGCGUAAACAUCUUUGCUCAGAGGAGUUUGCUGAUAAAACAAGGACAAAAACAAAUCAGUUGCAAAAUAAAGCCACAUUUGCAUGUAAAUGCCAAGUGAGAUGGUAACACGAUGAGUAAAUCACGCUUUAUUGACAAUCUAGUACAACAUAGUGGUUCAUUAUUGAAAGGGAAUCAAUAAGGACCGGUCAACAAUGUUACAAACGCGUCUGAAAUAUAAAAACAACAAACCUACAGUCAAGAGCGUCAACGUGUUCAGCCGAAGCCCCGCCCGCUGUUCAAUCUAUAGGCGGACCGGGCUUCAUAUAUAACGUGAAGGAACAUUGUGUGCACUCAGGUUUGUGGCACUUUCACCUCACGGCGGAUCGUAGCAUCAGGUUCACUCUUUGGCGUUACACAACCUUCAGGAGAUUUGUUUUAAGCCGUGUCGUGCGCAAAUAUCGCAGCGAUGAUCAUCAGACUCGGCAGACUGACUCCUGGAUACUUCCGUCUCCUGCAGGUGUGUAUUUGAUCAAAUCUUUUAACUUGGUUCAAUCUGUGAAUAAUAAUAACUUUUAAAAGUUUUUCUUUUUUUUUUUUAUCGAUCAUAUGAUGAGGAACCAAAUUUUCCUCAAUCUUUGGAGAUAAAAGCAUUUAUUGUACUAUGACAGCAUAUUGUAGCUUUCAGAACACAACUUCCUUCCAAGUGAAAAACGGCAUUUUUUUUUUUUUUUUUUUUUUAACUAAGUUUCAACAAUAGCCGGGUUUCCAACCCGAACAAGCACCAUUUCCAUCCAACGAGUCAAAGAGAACAAAAUCAUCACUUCCUGAUAAACUGCCACUAUACAUCACUAAGAAAAGUAGGAGAAGCUACUGAAAAUAAUAAUUUUCCUAUAUAAUAAAUGACUUGCACCUCAGAACGAGCA
ensembl:lncRNA